rnacentral:lncRNA from 1 species
AUCACCAUAACAUGAUAUUUUUCAUGAAUGACGUCGUGGAUUCGGCGUGAUUGAAGGCGAUUCGUGGAUUCGGAUCGUGGAUUCGAGUGGCGUUUGUGUAUUCGGACAUGUGCGAGGCGUUCGUGGAUUCGAACGUGAGGGCGUGGACAACCCGGAGGAUUGCACGAGAUUCUUAAGAGGUUAAGAGAGGUCGAGUCCGUGGAGUCGGUAAUCACCUUGUAAUCUUUUCUCUUAGUGAAUUAUUUUUUCGCGU